UUUGGAAACAAGAAACUAGUGGAUUGAAUAUUAUAGAAACAAAAACCCUAAAGGCCAGGAGAUUGAUUAUAUAGUGGACGUGAAUCAAAGUGAAAGGGAUCCCCUAAUUAAUUUUUCGUAGGGCAGAGGAGGUUGACGGCAGAAACACAACAGCAGGCUGCGAUCAAGAGGAAAGAAAGAAAAGAAAGGAUUGGUUCGAGCUUCAAGCCGCAAUCAAGUUUCAAGUUCGGGUUGAGAUGAACUAGAGGAUUGUAAUGCGUUUGUGACAUGUUUUCGGUCCUGGUGCAAAUGGAGCGGAAAAGAGUAAUAAUUAAAUGACCAGCCAGUUGGGCAGAGUAGAAUGCCAGUGACAGAAACUAAAAUCGCCACUAUUUUCUUUGAUUGAGUCGAGCCCACUUAUCUCUAUAGUAUAAAACAUAGAGGCUUCAUAUGAAACACAUGGGCUGCCAUAUGUACUAAGCCCAGCAAAACCUUUAAAGUCAAGAUAGUGGGCCGCUAAUUUCCACAUACAAGUUCACGAAACAUCAAAUGAGGACCGUUACUUCUAUUUUUUGGGCUUUUGGAAACAAGAAACUAGUGGAUUGAAUAUUAUAGAAACAAAAACCCUAAAGGCCAGGAGAUUGAUUAUAUAGUGGACGUGAAUCAAAGUGAAAGGGAUCCCCUAAUUAAUUUUUCGUAGGGCAGAGGAGGUUGACGGCAGAAACACAACAGCAGGCUGCGAUCAAGAGGAAAGAAAGAAAAGAAAGGAUUGGUUCGAGCUUCAAGCCGCAAUCAAGUU
rnacentral:lncRNA from 1 species